GAGUCGAGUCCGUUUCACGUCCCUCGUUUCGCCGCCCGGGACGGGUCGCGCGCCCCUGCCGCGAGCGCCGCGCGCGGGGUGGGUUCACGAGCAGGCCCGGGCCGGGUCCCACGCUCCAGGCGGGAGGCGGCGGCGGGCGGCGGGGGACGUGUCUGCCGGGCUGCGGAGCGGAGCCGCAGGAAGCGGAGCCGCAGGAAGCGGAGCGGGCUGCCGGGGGGGCGGGAGUUCAGCUCGGCCACCCGCCCCGCGCGUGGGGCGCCCGAGAGCCUCCGCUCGCGCCGAGCUGCGGGGCUUGCCCGGCCACAGAACGCGAAGGCCGAGCACCGACGGGCGUUCCGCAGAUCGCAUCGUGAGCGGAUAAAAACGCCGGAAUGGAUUCACUUCGGAGCCAGCGCGCUUUCCACGGGACUGACACGCCACCAAACGCAUCAGCUGGGGGGUCCCGGGAGCGGGAGGCGAGCGCACGUUAAAGCAUCUGACCAGAUCUCUGCCUGAAACCGUGAAUACUGUGAGCGCAGCCGAGCAGGACCUUCAGCAGAAGAGGAAACUGACAGAAGGCAUAAAGACAGUCCUUGUCCCAGAGAGUGCUGUCCACUCCCCACCUUGGAACAGUAUCAUAGACACUUCUUGUUCUGGUGUUGCACUGGUGUGAGGAUUGACUUCUGGGAAUUGGUCUGUAAGCCCAGCUCUGUGAACAAGCGUAUCAUGUCCUCAGUGGCUCGACAAGCCUCCAGAAGUGACUGGGCUCUGAAGAGAUAAUCGUCCAGAUUCCCAGUGACCCCAGAGUGGCCCUGGGAUCCUUCAAGGAGUGGAAAGAGGCAUCGGUCUUCUCAGCAAAGAGCUUUACCCCUCCA